GUGAAUUAUCAUGGCCCCCCUCUCUCUGAGAGGACGGUCUAUAAUCUACUCUUAUCUAGCACAAGACUACGGAAGGUGAAAGCUUGAGUCGUAGAUUCGCUGCCUGGCCGGAUGGUGGGAACAGCUCCGGCUGUUCUUUCCUUAACUUCUUAACUUAACACUGUGAAUAGAAUGAACAAAAACUUGUCUUCGGACACAACUUAUAUA
rnacentral:misc_RNA from 1 species